rnacentral:rRNA from 1 species
GAUGAACGCUGGCGGCGUGCCUAAUACAUGCAAGUCGAGCGAACAGAUAAGGAGCUUGCUCCUUUGAAGUUAGCGGCGGACGGGUGAGUAACACGUGGGUAACCUACCUAUAAGACUGGGAUAACUUCGGGAAACCGGAGCUAAUACCGGAUAACAUUUAGAACCGCAUGGUUCUAAAGUGAAAGAUGGUUUUGCUAUCACUUAUAGAUGGACCCGCGCCGUAUUAGCUAGUUGGUAAGGUAACGGCUUACCAAGGCGACGAUACGUAGCCGACCUGAGAGGGUGAUCGGCCACACUGGAACUGAGACACGGUCCAGAGUCCUACGGGAGGCAGCAGUAGGGAAUCUUCCGCAAUGGGCGAAAGCCUGACGGAGCAACGCCGCGUGAGUGAUGAAGGGUUUCGGCUCGUAAAACUCUGUUAUUAGGGAAGAACAAAUGUGUAAGUAACUGUGCACAUCUUGACGGUACCUAAUCAGAAAGCCACGGCUAACUACGUG